UGGAGAGUUUGAUCCUGGCUCAGGACGAACGCUGGCGGCGUGCUUAACACAUGCAAGUCGAACGGAAAGGCCCUUCGGGGUACUCGAGUGGCGAACGGGUGAGUAACACGUGGGUGAUCUGCCCUGCACUUUGGGAUAAGCCUGGGAAACUGGGUCUAAUACCGAAUAGGACCACGCAUUUCAUGGUGUGUGGUGGAAAGCUUUUGCGGUGUGGGAUGGGCCCGCGGCCUAUCAGCUUGUUGGUGGGGUAAUGGCCUACCAAGGCGACGACGGGUAGCCGGCCUGAGAGGGUGACCGGCCACACUGGGACUGAGAUACGGCCCAGACUCCUACGGGAGGCAGCAGUGGGGAAUAUUGCACAAUGGGCGCAAGCCUGAUGCAGCGACGCCGCGUGAGGGAUGACGGCCUUCGGGUUGUAAACCUCUUUCAAUAGGGACGAAGCGCAAGUGACGGUACCUAUAGAAGAAGGACCGGCCAACUACGUGCCAGCAGCCGCGGUA
rnacentral:rRNA from 1 species